GCAUUAAUGGGGUAGUGGUAACCUUGGUCGUUGCCACCCGAGGAUUCGCAUUCUCGACCAGCCGGGGGUUCGAUUCCCUCUUAAUGCA
rfam:Fibulorhizoctonia sp. CBS 109695 unplaced genomic scaffold FIBSPscaffold_9, whole genome shotgun sequence.